rnacentral:rRNA from 4 species
UUACCCUGAACGGUGGAUCACUUGGUUCGUGGGUCGAUGAAGAACGCAGCUAAUUGCGCGUCAAAUUGUGAACUGCAGGACAC